GGUGGGUUGGCCGAGUGGUUUAUGGCGCAGGUCUUGAAAACCUGUGGGAGCAAUCCCUCAGAGGUUCGAAUCCUCUACCCACCGCCU
rnacentral:tRNA from 1 species